CAAAUUACUAAUUCACCAUAGUGAUUUACACAGGAAAUUAAAUAUCUAAAUGCACUUUUCAAUUAUAUGAGAAUUAAAGCUAUAACUAUAUAUAAUCAGAGAAAGUUCGAUCAAAUCAUAGAUCAUGAUGAGUCAACCUGUCUCAUGGAAGUCGUUUUCCUUUUUCAAGAAAAGGGGCAUGAUAUAUGUAUAGGUGGGCGGGGACUAAUUAAAUG
rnacentral:lncRNA from 1 species